rnacentral:rRNA from 1 species
GAUGAACGCUAGCGGCAGGCUUAAUACAUGCAAGUCGUGGGGCAGCAGGACUGUAGCAAUACAGUUGCUGGCGACCGGCAAACGGGUGCGGAACACGUACGCAAUCUACCCAGAACUGGUGAAUAGCCCUCCGAAAGGAGGAUUAAUACACCGUAAUAUUAUAAAGUGGCAUCACUUAAUAAUUAAAGCUCCGGCGGUUUUGGAUGAGCGUGCGGCCCAUUAGGUAGUUGGUUGAGGUAAUGGCUCACCAAGCCUGCGAUGGGUACCUGGUGUGAGAGAACGACCAGUCACACGGGCACUGAGACACGGGCCCGACUCCUACGGGAGGCAGCAGUAAGGAAUAUUGAUCAAUGGACGCAAGUCUGAACCAGCCAUGCCGCGUGGAGGAUGAAGGCCCUCUGGGUUGUAAACUUCUUUUAUGGGGGACGAAAUCACUUAUUCUUAAGUGUCUGACGGUACCCCAGGAAUAAGCACCGGCUAACUCCGUGCCAGCCGCCGCGGUAA